GACGAACGCUAGCGGCGUGCUUUAAGCAUGCAAGUAGAACGGUCCGUCGCAAGACGGAAAGUUGCGAACGGCUGAGUAACACGUAGGAAUCUACCCUUUGGUGGGGAAUACCCCGUCGAAAGACGGGUUAAUACCGCAUGAGCCCCGAGAGUAAUCGAGGAGCAAAGGACAUAACUGUCCGCCGAAGGAAGAGCCUGCGGCCUAUCAGCUUGUUGGUGGGGUAACGGCCUACCAAGGCUACGACGGGUAGGGGCGUGAGAGCGUGUUCCCCCAGAAUGGUACUGAGACACGGACCAUACACCUACGGGAGGCAG
rnacentral:rRNA from 1 species